rnacentral:lncRNA from 10 species
UUUUCCCCAGUCAUUUAAAGGUUUGAAAACUAAUCUUAGUUGAAGAGCCAUACAGAAACAGGUGGCAGGCUAGAUUUGGCAGAUGGGUCAUAGUUUUGGUGACUCCUGUAUUAGUGUAAAAAGAAAAUCAAACCUAAAAUAAUGUGCCCUGAUGAUUCAAGCUACUUAGAAUAGUGUUGUUUUGUUUUAGCAACUGGACAUAAAGUGUUUGCCUCUUCACUUUUUUUAACAGGCUCUGGAAAUAUGGUGGCAUCUCAUCCCAUUGCUGCCAGCACACCCGAAGGGAGCAAUUAUGGGACAAUAGAUGAGUCAAGCUCCAGUCCUGGAAGGCAGAUGUCCUCCUCCGAUGGUGGGCCACCGG